rnacentral:rRNA from 1 species
AGGUUGGGAACUACUGCUCCAAAGGCACCAGAUUCCAUCUGAUCUUGGAAGCUAAGCAGGGGCAGGUCCAAAUAGUAUUUGGAUGGAAGACCACCAAUGAAUAUCAGGUGCUGUAGGUU